rfam:Myotis lucifugus cont2.7219, whole genome shotgun sequence.
GGCAGUUCUUGGGUGACACACUCCGGAAUUGGGCUCCCUCCUCUCUGGUUCUGGGUGUAUCACCCGAGAACCACA